rnacentral:rRNA from 1 species
CCUACGGGGUGCAGCAGUAGGGAAUCUUCCACAAUGGACGAAAGUCUGAUGGAGCAACGCCGCGUGAGUGAAGAAGGGUUUCUGCUCGUAAAGCUCUGUUGGUAGGGAAGAAAGAUAGUGUUAGUAACUGUCCUUUAUUUGACGGUACUUAUUUAGACAGUCACGGCUAACUACGUGCCAGCAGCCGCGGUAAUACGUAGGUGGCAAGCGUUGUCCGGAUUUAUUGGGCGUAAAGCGAAUGCAGGCGGUGCAAUAAGUCAGUAGUGAAAGCCUACGGCUCAACCGGAGAAUUGCAUCAGAAACUAUUGAACUUGAGUGCAGAAGAGGAGAGUGGAACUCCAUGUGUAGCGGUGGAAUGCGUAGAUAUAUGGAAGAACACCAGUAGCGAAGGCGGCUAGCUGGUCUGCAACUGACGCUGAGGCUCGAAAGCAUGGGUAGCGAACAGGAUUAGAUACCCUAGUAGUC